AUCUAACCUAAUCUUUUUUGAACUUUAUAAUAUAAACACAAACGAAUUAAAAAAAUAUACCGUAAUUUAACUGAUUAAAAGUCUAUAUAAGUUUGUGUUUAUAUGACGUAUAUUUCAUUUUGCUACGUACUACUGUAUGUAUACAUUCAUGUUGUAUGAUGGAGCAUGCCUCUUUUGCACAAGAAAAGUACUGAAAUCUCUUUAUUUGAAGGAGUCCACAUCCACCUCGAAGGCGAUGUGCGCAGUGGUUCGAUUGCUAUACCCGAGAUUGAUUUACCGGCGAUUGAUGUCGCAUCAUCUGCUGCGUCGGUGGUGGCGGAAGAGUUAGGUAAAUCAAAUCUCACAUAAAUGAUUCUCUGUUCUAUUCUCCAUUCUUCGUUCUUCUGAUUGUUUUUUUAGGUUUUUGGUGGUUAGAUGUUUGCGCCAGACGAUUCAGAAUUCAUAAGGUGUAAAGUGUGUUCAUAUUAGACUGCAUGCAAACAUUAUCAUUGCACAUCUUAACUUUUAAAUAAAGGACUACUACAGAUGUUUGGAUGGACUACUACAGAAGUAAUUUUCAUUUAAAUAUGGAUAAAUAUCGACGCUCACGAUUCAACAAGCAAAUCUAGUUUGAUA
rnacentral:sRNA from 1 species